CAAAUUAUUAUUAUUUAUUUUUAUUUUUUUUGGUAAAAGGUUAAAUUUUAUACCAUUUUUGAAAUUUUGACAGAAAUUACAGAGCAAACAAGUAGCAGAAAAAUGAAAACUACAGAAAAUAAAAUACAACAUCACAACUCAAACUACGGAGGAAAGCAAGCGAGAGCUUAUGGCUAAGCCACGGGAAGAAACACCGAUUCCAAACUGUGAAGCAUGGAAAUUUGCGUGAUUUCCACAGAUCAAACAACCUGGAGUCUUCAUCGUAGUUGCCACGAGCAUCCAACCAAGACCGUCCUUCAAAACCUCGGGAUAGGAGCCUACAGCUUCUCCGAAGACUAACGCAAAAACGGAAAGACAAUUGCGGACUUAAGCGCGAACCCUGCGGCACAGGAGCCUCUGCGGGUUAUCGGAGAAGCCGCCUCCGACCACCAUUCCUAUCGCGAGCGACAAGAACCAUCUCCCACGGGAAAGCGAAGCCACUUAGACCAAACCGCCGCCUCUAUUCAUUCACCAAAAGGCUUUGCCGAAGCAUCCCACUAAACCCCCAUCCGCAGCAUGAACAAAAGCAACAACAACAAAAACACAAACUCCACCAACGAGCAACAACGGAAAGCGAAGCAGAGGGAAACCUGACGAAAGGCAAACAAGACCAUGCCCUUGGCUGACGAAGAGGACACCAACCUUAGCCCACACAAUGAAGGAGAUACGCCAUUCAACCAAUUGACACCCAUGACGAUCCAUCUGCCACAAGAACUAAACAUAGGCACCGAAUCCGAGAAAAACUCGCACUCCACGCCGUGCUUAGCCUCCAUGAGUGUCACCAAAUCCUAAUCCUCACGCACCACUGCCGGUCGCUUGAGAAAAUCGAAGGAGGACAGACCGAAGAGAAGAAACCGAAACCUGAAGCCAAACGCUAGCCACCACCGACCACUCUAAUCGACGAAAUGAGAUCUGAAGAUGGUGAUGCGCCGUGCAGAGAGAACCAGACGCCACCCACCACCAUGAAGCGAGACCGAAGCGGAGGACGGAGAGACGAGACAUUGAGCGCCAAGGAACGGUGAAAGCACACAACAACAAAGAGGAAAGAGAGAAGCGAUGGAGAGAAAGGGAAGCCCUCUCCGGUCACCGGCAAGGAGAGCCAUGACCGGAGAGGCGAAGUGCGAUGCAGAUCUAGGGUUUUUGCAAAGAAGGAAGUAGAGAGAGUUUUCGCCGCGCGUGAGGCCGACGCGCGCGAGGAUUUUUCAAGUUUUUUCCUUUGCUCAAAUUUCCAAAUUAUUAUUAGUACUACUCUCUUCCCAAAAUUAAUUAACAUUGAAAUUUUGAA
rnacentral:lncRNA from 1 species